rnacentral:rRNA from 1 species
UACGGACGGGGCAAGCGUUGUUCGGAAUCAUUGGGCGUAAAGGGCGCGUAGGUGGUUCUGUAUGUCUACCGUGAAAGCGUACGGCUCAACUGUAUUUUGUCGGUGGAAACUGCAGGACUUGAGGCUGGGAGGGGCUGGUGGAAUUCCCUGUGUAGCGGUGAAAUGCGUAGAGAUGGGGGAGAACACUCGUGGCGAAGGCGGCCAGCUAGACCAGUUCUGACACUGAGGCGCGACAGCGUGGGGAGCAAACAGG